UACGGGGGGAGCAAGCGUUGUUCGGAUUUACUGGGCGUAAAGCGCGCGUAGGCGGUCAUUUAAGUUCGGGGUGAAAGGUUCAACGCUCAACGUGAACAGUGCCCUGGAUACUGGGUGACUUGAGUUCGGGAGGGGGCAGUGGGAAUUCCGGGUGUAGCGGUGAAAUGACGCAGAUAUCAGGAGGAACACCGGUGGCGAAGGCGGGUCUCUGGGCCGAAUGACUGACGUGGAGGAGCGAAAGCGUGGGGAGCAAACAGG
rnacentral:rRNA from 1 species